GUCUCGUGCCCGUGCCGUGUCCUGUCCUGUUGCCUGGCGCCAGCCCGUGGACAGCCGCGGGGCCCUCUGGUGAGUCGGGAGCUCGGGAGCGGGAGGUGGCCUGCAGAGGCCCUGUGUUGGUGCUGGCCUGGCUCCCCUGACUCACAAUGAAAGCCCAGACCUCGAGUCACUUUCACAGAGAGGUUUAUCGAAUGCGAACAGCACAGGAUACAGUACUUCCCAACAAAAGGUGCAAACGCGUCACUUCGAAAGGCAUGCUGAGUACUCUUUGCUUCACAGGUAUUAAAAACUUACAAAAAUAAAAUAAAACUGCGUGCUGCCCAUCUUUUCAAAUAGUAAAAGAACCUUAUGAAAAAACCACUUGAUUUUACAACAAAAGACACAAACGGACAUUUUUAUGUAAAUUUAUAAGGCAAACUCUUUAUAUAAUAAAUAGGUUACAGGGGUUCAGUGGGGGGUGUUUUUGAAACGUAUACAGAUACAUUCAGACAGGUUUACUGAAAUGGUACAAAUUUCCUUAAUAAAUUGCCUUUUGUUUUUAAAUAUAUCAGUGCUUUCAGUCAUUUGGCUAUACACAAAGAACCUUUUUGAACACUACAAAAAAGCAAUCAAUAUCUUUGUUUUUAAAACAACCUACUUAUUUUCUAAAGUAAUUGUCCCAAAACACAAAAACUGAAGGUGAAUGCGACAGAGGGCUUUUCAAGACCCCUCCAGCUAAGUCUGCCCCAGGCCCAUCCCCGUGCCCCAUGAACCCCUCUGGCGUCAGGUGGCAGCCCUGUCCAUCCUGUGGAUCUUGGCCUCCAGGAUGGCACAGGGGACUGGGACUUGGACUCAGAGGGGGACAGCCUGCCUGCUUCCGGGCGCUAAGCUCCAUGUGCAAAGGUCAUUCCAGCCCCACUGUCCUUGCCUGAAGGUGAGCCCAGAACAACGUCUAAGGAGGGUAACUGCAUCAACCAAGAAGGCUCCACUCGCUCGCCGAGGGGAGGGAAGGGCUUUGUUAGCUCAGGUCCGAAUCUCUCUGAGGACUGAACCACUGGCACUGGCUCACCCCAGCACAGUGGGGAGUAGUGAAGUCAUGUCAGUGACAGGAUGGGGAGUGACAGAAGUGCCUGGGGGCCAAGGAUGCCCUGCGCCCAACCCAGCCAUAUCCAGGAGGAGCUGCCAGGCAGGGCGUGGCUAAGCCCGCUCCGCCUGUGAGCCUGUGACCGUGACCUGUGACCUGCGCACCAGGCCCCUCCUUCCCUCAGCUCUCCAGGAAGGAGGAUGAAUCUUGUCUUUACUUACAGAUAACAAUGCUAAUAAACUGGGGGUGGGCAUCGCUGUGGAGAGAAUCCACUGCGUGGAACAAAAGCUGCUUGUGCUUGGUCUCUGCAAAUGGCAACCCGUCAGCCUACCCAGUCUGUUGGUGGAGCAGGACUCCCAGGGGGUCUCAGGCCCAUCUGGUAGGGGUUAUCGCUUUGAUCGCCCUUCAGGUCUCAGUCACCGUCCCCCUCCCUCCGGAAUGCUCUGCUUGGAAAGAAAAGGCAUCUGAAGCAUUUGUCUCUGGAACAAUUACUUUAAACAUGGUUACAAUACAGACUUCAGUUCAAACACAGAAGAGAUUUACUUAGCAAAGUUCCUUUCACCCACCAAAAAUUACACAAAUAGAAGCCUCCACACCACAGUUAAGAGGACCAGUAGAGAAAACCUCCUGUUUGGAACACAAAAGGAGAAAUAAAAACCAAACCAAACCCAAACAGAGAAACCCCAGAGAGACAAGGGGGGGCGGGAAGGCAGGGGAGGAGGAGCAAACACGGCACAGUUACAGUGUCCAGGUACACGGAGCCCUCAAGGGAGGGCUCGGCACGAUUGAUAACAGUCCUGGUGAUAUUUGGUCAUAUAUUCGGCUACUGACUCUGGAGCAGCUGUCAUUGAUUGAAGCAUUGAAAAAUCAAAUGGAAAGGAGGCCGUGGUAGUAGGGAAGGAGCAGGCUCCGCAUCUGCAGCCUUCGCACUCCACUGUCCAGCUCCCAGAAGCACUGAGCUGGGUGGCCCUGCUCCAUCCGGCCGGGGCUACAGGUCAGCGGGACAGGACGCUACCUUGUCGGGAAGCAAAGCACACACGCGGACACAUGCGGACACCCACCAUUGUGGCCGGACGUCAGCAUCAGCGGCACCGGCCUCUGCUUCCUGCACCCCUCCCAGGCGGGCUGGGAGAGAACUGUGCAGCCUGAUAAUACUGAGCUUGGGGAGCGGCCCAGCCCUGGGACCCCUGGGAGCCACCAGGGGCUGCCCCAGCCCUUGUCCUCGGGGGCCUGUGACCCACUGUUGGAUGCUGGCCUCAGAAGAAGCAUGAUGCAGAGGGGAAGAUUUUGGCCCUGGUGAUUAUAAUGCUCUCUGCUUUGGAAGAACGUUUCUGGAUUCUGUUUUUUUGGUGUUUUUUAAUGACUUAAUAAGUGAUCAAAAAGAACUGUUACAGCUAACCUCUCUAGCAGAUAUUGCUCAUUAAGGGCUACAAAAGCAAAUGCAAUUACUCAUGGGAGGGGGAGAAUAGAAAGGGACAUGGAUGGAGUCUUUGCUACUUCCCGGAGAGGACCUCUGGACUGUCUGGCAUGGGUCUGGGGUCCCUGGCAUUCUACCUGGUGUGACCUCUCCUCUCCCCCUCAAGCCCCCAGGCUUGUCACUGGGUGGGGAGCCUUCCCCGCCUCCACUCUCCGUCCCGCCUCUGCUCAGCACAGAGAAGCCCUCAGGAGGGGGAAAGACCACAGAUCUGCUUGGACCCAAGAAGCGACCAGCAGACAGAUUUGUCAUUUUUUUUCUUUUUUUUUUUUUUUUUAAUUUUCCCUUGUCCUAUGCUAUGGUUAUCAGAAAUAUUGUAAUUAAGCAACAGGUAUAAUUUUAACAGGUUUUUUUUGUGUGGAACCACAAGCAAAAUGAGUUUAUAAUUGUGCAAUAUACACACACACACACACACACACACAUAUAUAUAUAUAUAAAAAUUCAACUGCUUUGUGUGUCUAGUUGGUGCAUAAAAUAAAAGGGACAGGAGAACUAAAAGCAAAACUCAAAAGCAAAACAAAAGCCCAGGGCAGAGGAGACCAAGCAGGCCUAUGCAUAAUCUCUAAGUUACUGGAUAGGGUCAGGGUCACGAGGAAGGACAGCUUUGCCACUUGACACAAACACCGCUGGGAGAGGGGUGACGUGGCAGGAGCGGAGCCUGUGGCCUCUUCGGCACAUCUCUUCUCACUGCCGAGCAGGACCCGACAAAGGCAAGACAGGCAGAAGGGGGCAGAGACCUGGCAGCUGCCCACAUGCUCCUGAAUUCAGAUGCGAGUCUGUUCCCACAAAGAGAUCAAUAGAUCAGGCUGGGGCCUGUCCUCCCUCCCCACUGUCCCUGGGGCCCCACCUAGCUCCCUGGACACCACUCUGUUUUCCUGGCCCCAGCAAGGAUGGGGCCAAAUCUGCCAAGGUGAGAGGUGCCCGGGGUGGGCGGUAGGGUGGGUGGUCUAGGCCUCAGAGACCACUAGUGAGUCAGCCUCACAAUGCCAACGCCCACCCCCUCCCCCUUGAGACAGUGUCAGAAGCGGUGUCCCCAGCAAUGGCAACCCCAGCAGUGACAAUGACGAGGCCCCUGACUCGAGUUCCCUGUGCCUGUCACAUUCACUAGAUAUCUCAGGCUGAGUACUAAGUAUUUUGGGAUUGGCAUUUUUGCAAAAGCUUGCUCUUAUUCAGAAACAUCAAAAUGUAAUUUUCUGCCAAAUGUUUUCUAGGUUUUCCUUGUACAUUGUUAAGAACUGAUUUCAAUGUUCAAUUUUCCCCCUUUAAUAAGUAAUUUUAGACCCUGGAGGAGGCAGUAUCCUAGCGAUUUAUAACAAUUAGGCCUAAGCCUUUUCUAAAGAUUGAUACAAUAUCUAAAAGAGAAAGACAUCAAAAUGGAGAGAAUCAACAAAUCCUUUCAGAACAGAGCUGUUCGCGGGUGCAGAGAGCAGGACAGAGGAGAGGAAGAGGACAGAGGGCAGAAGGCUCGUCCAGCCGGCCCUGUGGCCACUUCCCCUGGCCCCGUGGCCGAAGCUGGAGCCCUGGAAAGCAUGGACUCGCUGAGGCCUAGGCCAUUGGUCCUGGAAUCUGUGGGCGUGAACUGGAGCCGGGAAAUGCAGUGGGGCACGGACCCAGGCUACGAACCAAUCACAGAGGUCUCCCCCAAGAGCCACCGAGUGCUCAGAGAAGGGGGUACCCGGAGCUCUGGCUGCUGGACUCCGGCAAGCUAAGAGACAUCAACACAGUCCUACCCGGUGGAUUCAGUCCAUACUCUGUGGCUCUCUCCUGGGCUGGAGCCACUUAGUAAAAGUUACUUAAAAUUCCGAGGUCCUGCCAGCUAUGGAAACUUUUCCCACUAAGCCUGGCAGUUUGUUUCUGGUCGUUACACUCUUUCAUGAUCACCAUCACAGUAAUGACAAACGGAGGCUGCUCCGGGUCCCACUUCCAAUGUUGGUGGUCCCUGGCAGACUCAUCCGGACUCACAUCGGGGUGGUGGCUUUCACCGUCCCAAGCUGAGAGGCUGAGCUCCUUGGCUAGUUUGGCACUGAUCGACUGGGGCAGGUGGCAUUUCCAGGUGUCCGCUGUGCCACAUAAGGAGCUGUACUGGGCUGUGGCCCAGUAACCCAGAUCACUACAACAUCAAAGUCGGCUUCUCACUGGCUGUGUCAGAGUCACCAACGCGCAGGGCUGGGCCAGGCCCCCGCGGACAUACCUGGGAGGACAGACGGGUUCCUUGGGGAGAGGAGGUAGUAACUAAUGACUAACAGGGUGGGAAACUGUGGGUGUGUCCUUAAUGACGUCGCCCCAGGGUAUCUGAAAGCUGACAGUCACUGAAAAGUGCCCCCAGUCUUCAUAGUGCUCAAGUACAGACAGAAUUGAGGUCACACCCCAAAACUGGGCUGGACACAGCUGGUGAGAAUCCCGUGGCUUAAGGCUUUCCCUCAGACCUCCUGUCACCCUGACCCCACGGCGGGGGCCUGGGAGCAGCAGGGCCCUGCCUGCGAGGGCCACAGACCGCCAAAGCUGCCUGCCGAAAUGCGACCAACUCACGAUGCCCUCCUUUAUGUGGGGGUAGGAAGCGACGGGGCAGAGGGGCACAGAGGAAACCCUAUGGAGCUGCAGGCACUGCCUGUGGUCUUAAAACCAACUCUAAGGGAGAGAAACUGGGAGCAGGGGGCUACAGGUGGGGACCAACUGAAGGAAAACGACACCGAAACGCCCAGAGGCCCAGGCCUGGGAUGUGGGGCCCACACCCCUCUUCCUGGGACCACAUUCCACCAGACUGGGCAGAAAGGUGCACGCCAACCCUGCUGACCACAACAGACAUCUUCUUGUCGCCAACCUGGCCGGCUGCCACGCCUGUGUGAGUAGGUGUCCUUUGGGGGUGCCGGGAGUGCGAGGCCACUGUGGGGCCAGGGGCCUUUUGUCCUUGGAGGAAGAGGAGUUUCAAAGUCCUCGUCCCUUCCUACGACCCCGCUCCCUUCCCCUUCCUGGGGAGGCGGAGGAUGAGCGCAGAGCGGGUGAAGGGGCCAGGCUGGCGGAUGGGAGUCGGCUGUCGGCACAGGGAGAGGGACACGGAGAGGUUAAAGUCCGACUACAACUACAGAACAGAACAGGCGGACUCCCUCGCUCCCAACCGUCACGGAGACAGACAUGGGUUAUCUGAAGCUAUUGAUUGGAACUGUCAACUAGGGUUCUGAUCACUAAGACUGGCAAGGAAGUGCUAGACAGUUUCUAUGAUGUUUCAUCCUUCAUGAUUACACCGCAGUAAGGAAGCCGGGGGACAAGAACUGAAAUACACGAGACAACACGCACUUGACAGUUCAUGGCAGCAGCUCACGCAGGACGUGCCUGUGGGUGUUUCUGGAAGGUAAGACUGCUGUCUCAUUUGCUACUUUGAUAAGGUACUUCUCAGUUGGACAGAUUUAGAUAUAAGAGACAUCUCUGUAAACACAGAAAAGGAUAUACCAAUAUGAUGAAGAUAUGCAGCUAGAUAAGGACUUCCUGAUCACAGGUGAGAACUUUGGGAUCCCCAACAGAAAUGGAGCAAGCCUCUAACCCCACCCCACACUCACAGGGGAGACUAGAGGCCGCCAUGUCCUGGCCCCGCCCUGUCUCCAGCGAACAAAGCAAGCGACUCCACAGGAAAGGAUUCAGUGGGGAAAGGGCGAGCAGAGGGGGCCAGAGCCCAGGUGCCAGUACCAGUCCCAGUUCAGGGCUUGUUACCCGCUGCCCUGCCACAGUCUGCUAGCCCUGCUGGGCUCCUCAGUGACUGUGGCAGGCCGGCCCCUGGACACUGGAUGUGGCCAGCAUCCCUGGCCUGCUUCCCUUGAGCACAGGGAAGGAAAGGCCUACAGGGCAGAUGCUAAGGCCCUUGCCUUUUUCUUAGCAGGGAAGAGGGUGCUGCCCUCCCGCUCCUCAUAGAGGCCACAGUGGACUUCAUGUGCCCAGGGUGCAGGCAAUGGGGCUGAGUGGGGCUGGCAGCGAGGGCAAAGGCUGCAAGGGCUGUAGGGGCUGGGGCUGACCAGAGCAGAGCGGCUUGGUGUGUGGGUGGGUACCGGGGCUGCCCGGAGAGAGAAUGAGCUUGGAGGCAGGAGGAUGGGAGAAAUGAAAGGGUAAAAUGAAUGGAAGGCAGAGAUGGAAGGGCAGAGGAGAAACUAAUCAGGAAGUCCUUAUGAAAUUGCAGCAAACACUUAGAGUUUCGGAGCUUCGUGGGAACCCUAUGUGCUGAGCCCACUUUAAAACAAGCGCAGGUAUAUACAGAUCCAGGUAGUUUGGAACACCAUCACAUCUGGUGGCUCAAGGGACAGUGUCCCCAAUUCAAGCCAGGUUGCUUUCGGAGCAUGUUUGUUUUGAAGUGGGAACAUGAAGACUCAAUAGUGCAAAUAAUUCUAUGCUGUCCCUACAGGAGAACUGGAAAGUAAUUGGAAGAACAGUUUCGAGACUCUCCUGCCUGUGCCCCCUAGCCCGUCCGGACAUCCCUAACUACCAGUCAGGCUACUCUAAGCGACUAGGAAUCUCUCUCCUGUCCCACCCGCAGUGCUGGGUCAGCCAGGUGCGGUGCGAUGUGGGGUGUGGCCAGUGGCCUGUGCCUGUCCUGGCGCCACCUCCCAAGAACAGGCGACCUCACCUCACCCUGGGCUAUCCUCUCCUGUGGCUCAGGCCAGUCUACACUCGAAGUUCAGGGCUCCCCCUGAGCCGAGCUGGCGCUGGAGCAGACAGGUGCCACUUUCCUGUUCUGUGAAAUGUCCUCGUCAGUUUUGGAUUGGGGCUGGUGUGGGGCCAGGCUUGUGCCGCCACGUCUGGGAUGGUGCGGGCCGCAGCCACUGGCCAUCUCCCUUGUCUUCUUUAAAGAAUUUGACGGUCUCUCUGCUUCGCCUCCUUAUCCCACUGUGGUUGGGGGUGGGAGGUGGGGGAGCUGGGGCACCGUGGGCGGGGCACUGAUGGCACCAAAUGAGAGUGUCCUCUCGACUGCUGUCCGUCCCUAACAUCCCUAACGACUGCGACUGGGUGGGGAAAGGUGGGGUGGGAAGGGAGGUGCCUGGUCAACAGCUUGUCUGGUCAGUAGUAUCUGCAGCAAGCCUUGUUGAAGGAGCCUAGUUUAGAAAAGUGCAAAGCUACUUCUGGCCCUGGUUAGGUCUUCAACCUGACUGUGCUUGUCGGUAAGAAAAACAUCCCCAAUGCUCCAACUACUCCCACCCUGAAGCCACGAAACUCUAAGUUUACUGAAAGAAAAAAAAAUAUUUUUUAUUUCAGUUAAUCGGGAAGCUUUGUCAGAGCCCUACCCAUAAGGAGAAGAGACAACAGCUGCCUUUAUUCUUGUUGGUUUGCUUUGCAAUCCGCGCUGAGUAAAGUCAGCUAACUCUCUCGGUCACGGGCGUCCGGCUGUCCACAGGCUCCUCUCUGUUUGGCCUCGGCAUGGAGGACGAAACAAUGUCUUUGCGCUCUCCCUCCCCUCGGUGUUUGUACUUUUCUGCAGCGGGGGCCGGGCGGGGGGC
ensembl:lncRNA